GAUGUUAUUCAGCCGGAUGUAAGACAUUCGUUGGAAAGGAACGGACUUUAAUGCUUUACACGUCUUCAGGAUCAUUUUUUAGUUGAGGACUACUUAAGACCUGUAGUCUUCGGUUCCGGACGAGUGUUUUGUUGCCGUGUGGAGUGAGCUAGCCACAUUAGCUUAGCUCACCGGACCUGCGUCUAUGGGACACACUUUUGGACCUUCAGCCGACACAACGAGAGCGGACAGCGCUGUCGGUGAGAGCUGCAGGACCGACAUGGAUGCUGCCGUGCUGAGGACAGUCUGCGGUCUGCAGGAGUGUGAGGAUCCGACUGUUAGCUGCUGUUGUUCUGCCACAGAGGGAGACGUGGUCCCCAAACCUGAGAGGUGGAUGUGUAAAAACACCAAAUCGUGGUUUCCAUUGUGACAUGCUGAGGGCAGGCUGGACACUUGUGAGAAUAACAUCGACCCAAGUAAAUGGUGGCUAAUUCAUCCUUAACCUCACCAAGCUGCUGAACCAAAGGGCCUGUAUGACUGUUUCCUACAUGUGAAUAUUUGUGCAGCAUCAAAGGCUAUUUUAAAAGUGGAAUUUUAAGAAUUUAAUAAAGCAUUUCGUCUUUAUCUUGCUUGUCCCAUGAUUCAUUCUCAUUGGAUGCUAAAUACUAAACAUUUUACAUUGAGACACAUAUUUUUCCGGCAGAAAUCGGAGGUAUAAGGUCCUCUGUGAUAUUCAUUGGUACAGUAGUUAUGUACUCUAACCUCAACAAGGUCUUUUCAUCAAAGGCUGUUCCACAGGAAGCUGCUCCGUCUCUGUGUGUGCUUAUGCAAAUAAAUCUUCUUAAGGACUUAACUUACACUCACUUUAUGUGUGUGAUAAUUCCACAUUUCCCUGUUUCAGAGCUAUGAUAAGGAAAUAAACUGAAAACCAUCCUCUCAAUGAAACGACACUGGAUCGCGUACCUUAUUUAAAUUUGCACUUGAUUUGCAAUUCCAUUUGAAAUUUGCCACUUUGAAUAAAGAAGGAUGAAACCUGAACUGAGGUGAUGCUCAGCUCAUCAGAGUUAUAUCGUCCUUUAAUUCCUGUUUAACUUCAGCUCAUUUUCAAGCUAUUCUGCAACAUUAGUGUCAUAAGUGAAGAAGAUAUUCAAUUUUACCUUCUCUAACAUAUAUAAAGCCUUCGCUUGUGAGAUAUUUUAUAUCACCUGAGUAUAUUCUUGACCUUCCUGAGAUGAACACUAAUGUGGGGAUGGCCUUUCUAUACAUUCAGAAGAAUAAUUCUUUUGGAAGUCUAGUAUUAAAUUCCCUAAGAAAAAUGUCUGUCUCUUUAGCUGUUACGCUAAAUAGUUUGAGUCUGUGCAAUGAACAUUAAGUGAAUUUCUAGAGCUUUACUAUUGGCUGAAGAGAAGUAACAUCUGAUCAAAAUAAUAGAGUUGCAAACCAUAAAUCUAAAACUGAGGGGAACUGUAUCGUGACAAUUAACUGCAACUUCCCGCGCCAAAAACUGCAGUUCCUCAAAUGGCCACUUGAUCCCAUCUGCAAAAGUGAGUCAAUCCCCAUGGACCCACAUGUUAAAAAUGCCCAAUUUUACAACAGAAAUAAACACAUUUACAGCCUGGCACAAAGAACGCUUGUGGUUUCAAUAUUUAAUUUCCUCAUUAGUGAAAAAUGUACAGGGGGUGAAUAUAUUUCUAACUCACAAAUUUGAAUUUCAUCCAGGCCUACAUUCAUGCAAAAUUAAGGGUGUGGGUGCUUUGAAUGAGAGGCAGGUGCCACCAUAGGGCAGUAAAUGGACCAGAGAUGUUUGCAUGGCCGCCUCAGCUCUACCUGUUGGCUCGUUGUUGGAAUUUGCAGUGAGGACCGCAAAGAUGGCGACAGCUGGAGGCACCACACUGAGCUUCAAAAUUGUAGUUUAGAAAACCUAUGGGUGACGCCACACUGGAUUUGUUCAUUUAAAUACAGUCUAUGGUAACAAUACCCUGAAAGCAUGUUACCACUGCUGUCCACUGUCAUGUUACACAGUCAAGGUCUGUGAAUCCUAUAAUAAUAUAGCCAGUGUUCACAGUUUUACCACAUUACAUAGCCAUGCUUUGAGCUAUAUGCUAGCUUCAGCAUGCGGAGUAGGGUGACCAAAUGUCCUGUUGUCAUGUCCUGUCCUGGCCGUACAGGUUGUUUUUUAUUAAAUGAAGAAAAUUUUAUGGGUUUCAUUGUUUUUCAUUGGGCCACUAAACUGACCUAAAACUCAAGAUAUAGAUAUUUUUUGUGAGUGUAAGUUUGUGAGAGCUAUUUUUGUUAAAGUUGGAAUGCUAAAAUAGCAGAGGUAUUUUUUUGUUUGUUUUAUUUCUAUUACAGAAGAGACAUUAUUUCAUUCGCUAUUUUUGAAAGUUGCUAUAAUAAAACAUGUUGAGUAACCUCUGAGAAAUCUAUCUGAAUUUGUGUCUUUGGUUAUAGACAGCAUUUGGUAAUAUAACAACUUUCUGUCUGUACAGAAGAGGCAUACUUUAAAUGUAUUAAAAUUGUAAGGCAUCUUUGAGUAAACUUUGACUAUCAUUUGAGUAUCUCAUUGCCUGGCUGAGUGUCCUGGUUUUCAGUAAUGAAAAUAUGAUCACCCUAAUGUGGACAUAUAGAUAUUUAGGUUACAUUUGCAAUGAGCACAAAAUACAACAUUUCACUACACAUUAUGAACCAAAUAAUAUGGCAAUUCAUUCAGUAGCUGUAGAGAUAAAUAAAUCAGUCCCAGCCAAUGGUAGUGGACCAGCCAACUGGCUAAAAACUGCAGCUUUAAAUAUAUAAUACUAUCAAAAAAGCAAUGUUUUGACUCAAAGUGUAUUUUUGGCUUGUAUUUCAUGAAUACUGUGUUUUAAUAAGAAUAUUUAUAUCAUCAAAAGAUGCAGAAUAGAAAUCUAUCUUUGGAUGUCAGCAGACAAAGACAGAUGGAUCAUUUCAGUCCACAGCAAAAAGAUUAUUUCUUCAGGACUACUGAUGCCAGUUGCUUGCAGCUGAUAAAACUGAAGGCAUUCAUCAUUAGCAGCCACUUAUACACUGAUGCUCUCAUUAGACAGCUGUGAUAACCGGACUGGAGAAGAGGGAAGAGCAGGCCAUUAGCAUGUCAUUUCCCAGACAGGAAGGAAGCUUUCAGACUCGCACCAUCUGAAUUACAGGAUGAGGGAAAAAGACCAGGACACCUUUUAUAUACAGAGGCCCAAACAAUCCCUCCUCUUUCCUUGCCAACUCUGGCAGAGGAAGACCAGCAAAGAGGGCUCUCCAAAACAAAACCCAGCAAAUAUGGAGAGUGGUUAUUAAACAACUAUGAUCCCUUACAAUGUCCUCAGCUUCAUUCUGUUUUUAGCUUCCAUCUGAUUGAAAAUAUAACAAGUUUGAGUUGUUUUCUUGCACAUUUGUAAUCUCCUUUGAUCAUAUGAAAACGUGAUUUAAUAGCACAUCCUCUGACUCCACUUACCAGAGUGAAAACACAUCUCUUCCAGGCCGCUGUCCCACUUUGUCUGAGUUUGUCUAGCGACCAUAUGUUCACAUGUUGUUUUAGUUUGGUUGCAUCUGACUUCAAGAAUGGUUGUGUGCUUACUGGGAAAAGUGCCGCCUGAAUAUUUCAUGGUAUAAAUAUGGUAAGUGGUUUGUAAUGGCCCCUGAAAGCUCAUCAGAAUUUUACAUAAUGUCUUCUCCAUCACUCCCAUGUUUCCUCUCAGCUUGUGCAACAGAAUAUUUUUCCACAUAUAAACCACUUUCAUUUAUACAAUUACGGAUAGAAAGGCGCUAAGUUUAGCAAAACACAGAGCUUUUUACCCAUUAUUCUACCUGCUUGAAGCAUCAUUAUGUACUAAUACUGGGAGGAAAGAAGAUUUAGAUUUUGUAAGUCUUGGGUUUUAAAACCAAAACAUCCAUUGCCACUUUUUACUAAAAAUGACUAAAAGCUUGGAAGCCUUUUGUUUGUUGGAAAUAAUGGGCAACAAAUAGUGAUCCAACAAGUCUAAGCACAACUUGAAAGAUUAAAACAAGAACGACUAUUUCACUGUGUGUACACUCCUAUUGAAAAAGUAAGGAACUACUUGUGCUGCUGCUCUCCUCAUUGCUGUGUUAUUGGUAUCUGUAAAUGGUUUACACCAUUUGCAUCCGGAGGCUUUGUGCUUUCAGGCGAUAAUUCAAAAUGGGCUGAUGCUAUUGAAAAUACAGCAGCUGAAUGUUCUUUUGCCUCGUGCUUGGGUGAGCUAGUGGUAAUAUUUUUAUGAUAUAACUUUAAAGCUACAGUCAUUCUGCACUACGCUAUUUUUUUUGUCUGUCAGUUCUUUUUUUGAUUUGGUUUCUUGGGUGUUUAACUUCACUGUUUGGGUUCACACGACUGAUUCUCACCAGCAGACUAUGUCACAUCUUAAACAUGCCCACUGCACCCAGUACAAAACGGCUAAAAACACACAGUUUGCAAUUAUCUGAUGAAACUAUUGGUGCUCCCACCAGCUCAGCAGUCACAUAUUUCCGUCAGGUGUUGGUAGGGACUAAAAACAGAGCUGAAAUAAGCCCAGACACGACUCCGAAUGAUUGCUAAUCAGUCAUCACAACAACUUUGUGAGGUUAUCAUUUCAUAAAGUAGGUUAAGGCUUCUUUCAGUUCCUUGUGCUGUGUUUACAUCUUGUUUUGCUUAAAAGGAAACUAAUGCAAGUUUAAAGAUGCACUCUGGCAAAAGUCCGAAAUCCAAAUAUUUCCCUCGAAGAUGACAUUCUUGAGCUUAACUAUGAGCUGCAAAGUGUUUCAAACAGUUAGAUUAAACAAAAUGGUGACAUAAACCAAAAUAACUUCAAUAAAACUUAUGGGUGGUGUGAACGUAAACUGGCAGAGCAACCAAGAAAAGCUGCUCAAGAUCCUCGCAUAAUAGCAAUGUUUCAAAUCAAAUUCCAACAAAAUUAAGAUCCCAUAGAAACAACGGCUAACCCAAAAAGGUAAUUUAAGACUGAGGAAACAAAAACACUGGGGACUUAGAGGGAAUAACACAAGUAAGUAAACAGACAGCAAACACAUACAAACUGACAGAGGAAUUUGCAGGACUAUAUACACACAGACAAUUAAUUGGGAAACAAGAUACGAGUGGAACUAAUAAGGGUGGAGCAGAAAACCAAAAAAAGGGGGGAAACUCACAUAGGGAUCAAGGCAAGAACACCAGAGACAUGACAGGUACUUGGCUUUAAAUUAAAAGUACCUAAAAUAAGAGGACUACACAUGUAGACAAACAGAGGAAGACACAGUCAGAGAAACAAAGGAAACGCUUAGAAAUGCCAGGGUAGAACAAAAGAAAACCUAAGUACAGGGCAGAGACCAUGAGGGUGGAGACACUAAGGUGCCACAAGAAAAUCAAGGAAGGCGCUUUCGUUGGUUGUUUUUCUUCUCCAUAAUAGCAAACAGGAUAAUAUUUACUGUUUGUGAUGAAGACAUUUUUUCACUAUAUGGUAAACUUACUGUAAAUGAGAAGAGAAUCAGGUUACUGCUGAGUUUAUGCAGUUUGUGGAAGCAGGAAGUCUCGCACACCGAGGAGAUUCCAGCGUAUUUGCAUACAUAUACCAUAUGUAAAUGAACUGACUGGAGCAGCGACACUGCCCGACUUCAGCAAGACUUUGUGGCGUGCAGAGGACAUUAAAAAGCAAUAUUGCUAUAGCAGAUUAUUUAGUAACAUAUGCUGAAAUAACAAGAAGUCUGCACUAAAACUGAGGAUGAUGAGACGAAUGGCAAAGAUCUGCACUAACAUGAGGAAUACUAUCAAGGCCAGGAAAGUCACACGCAUAUCUUGUGCUGCGCCGAGUGGAAUUCACGAGUGAAUUAUCUCCUCAGCUGCAUGAAAUCAUCUUAACUCUGGACAGCCUCCAGUGAUAGAGAGUCUGUUGGAUAUGGUGCCCAAUUAGUCAGCUUUUCAACGUGAAUUAUCAGCCCACCACAUGCCAAAUGCUGACAAUCAAAAUGUCAGCGACUAAAAUAUCUCCCUUGCAUAAUGAGCAAUGAAAAGUGCUGAGUGAAGGGAUGAAGCCUGCAGAACUGCUUCACUGUUUACUAUGGACUGUUUUAUUCGUAAAGGCCAUAUUGCAGACUGCUGGUUACUGUUUGUCAUAAGGGCGGCUGUCAGAUCUCACCAUGUGGAUUACUCCACCCAUCUUAAACAAAGCUUUGCUUUAACUUCCCCUCCAAGUCCAGAAUGGUGACAUCUGAUUAAUGCGUGUAUUCCUCUGUAGUUGCCAGUUGUCGCUGUGCUAUAGCAAGAAGGCCUUAAUUAAAGGGAUUAUGGGCUUGUGGUGAUUCACAUUUCAAAAAACAGGUCACGUGACAAAAUGUAUGAUGCCUGCACUCGAAGCUUUCCACCCUACGCUCUUAAAAAUAUCUCUCUGGUCAUUGAUUUAACUACUGAAGUGUUAUUUCUGUACAUCAAAGUUACACAUUUAGAUUUUUUCCAUGAAAAUAAUCCUUUCCUGCCUUAAAAUGUCUAAGAUUUAACUCCACACUAUUGCUUUCUCCAGAAAAGUGGAUCUAUUUAGACUCUUCCACCCCCCACUCACAGCAGCUGGAGCUUACUAGCUCACCAACAAUCGGCUCAAACGCUAAAAUUACUCCACACAACACAAAAAAUGUAAAACUACUCUAUGUUACACAAUGGCAAGUUGGAAUAUUGGAAUAAUUUAGCCACUGACUACUUAUUUUGCUUAUGAUGUGUAAUCUAGCAUAAAAAAAACAUAUAUGGACAUAAUAAUAAGGUACAAAAAACCCUUGAUUUUCACCACAGUGGGUCUUUAGACUGUUGAUAUGUACGGUGUGUUUUCUGUGCUUCAGACUCAGACAUUAGUAUCACGUCAGUGCUGCAACUUUAAAGAAAGAGAGAGGCUUACAGUAUGAUGACAUCCUCUUGUCAGUUAUCAUGUGGAUAUGCAGGGCAGUAGCUCCCAGUGAGGACAGCAGAGGUCAUGUCUCAUGAUUUCCCUCUGUUUUCUACCAUAAAAACACACAGAGAGGUUAUUUUUAGACUCACACAGAAACAGAGAGAGAGGUGUGAUUUUUGGUGUCAGGCAAGCAUGCAGACAAACAAAAAUGCACUGCAGGUACCAGUCGAUGCAAUAUCAAUACUCUCACAAUAAUUAAUGUUCAGUGGUGUGUCAUUAGAAGAGAAUUACACACAGACUGCUAA